rnacentral:rRNA from 1 species
UACGUAGGGGGCAAGCGUUGUCCGGAAUCAUUGGGCGUAAAGCGCGUGUAGGCGGCUCGAUAAGUCUGCUGUGAAAGUCCAGGGCUCAACCCUGGGAUGCCGGUGGAUACUGUCGAGCUCGAGUCCGGAAGAGGCGAGUGGAAUUCCUGGUGUAGCGGUGAAAUGCGCAGAUAUCAGGAGGAACACCGGUGGCGAAGGCGGAUCUCUGGGCCUUACCUGACGCUGAGGCGCGAAAGCUAGGGGAGCAAACAGG